rnacentral:rRNA from 1 species
GACGUAGGGCGCAAGCGUUGUCCGGAUUUAUGGCGUAAAGAGCUCGUAGGCGGCCUGUCGCGUCGACCGUGAAAACCCGCACGCUCAACUGCGGGCUUGCGGUCGAUACGGCAGGCUGGAGUUCGGUAGGGGAGACGUGGAAGUUCCUGGAUGUAGCGGUGAAAUGACGCAGAUAUCAGGAGGAACACCCGUGGCGAAGGCGGACGUCCUCCUGGGGACGUGACUGACGCUGAGACGACGGAAAGCGUGGGGGAGCGAAACAGGAUUAG